rnacentral:rRNA from 1 species
GAUGAACGCUGGCGGCGUGCCUAGUACAUGCAAGUCGAGCGAAUGGAUUAAGAGCUUGCCCUUAUGAAGUUAGCGGCGGACGGGUGAGUAACACGUGGGUAACCUGCCCAUAAGACUGGGAUAACUCCGGGAAACCGGGGCUAAUACCGGAUAACAUUUUGAACCGCAUGGUUCGAAAUUGAAAGGCGGCUUCGGCUGUCACUUAUGGCUGGACCCGCGUCGCAUUAGCUAGUUGGUGAGGUAACGGCUCACCAAGGCAACGAUGCGUAGCCGACCUGGGAGGGUGAUCGGCCACGCUGGGACUGAGACACGGCCCAGACUCCUACGGGAGGCAGCAGUAGGGAAUCUUCCGCAAUGGACGAAAGUCUGACGGAGCAACGCCGCGUGAGUGAUGAAGGCUUUCGGGUCGUAAAACUCUGUUGUUAGGGAAGAACAAGUGCUAGUUGAAUAAGCUGGCACCUUGACGGUACCUAACCAGAAAGCCACGGCUAACUACGUGCCAGCCGCCGCAGUAA